rnacentral:rRNA from 1 species
AAAUAUUCCUGUACUUCUGGUUAUUGCGAUGGAGGGACGGAGAAGGCUAGGCCAGCUUGGCGUUGGUUGUCCAAGUUUAAGGUGGUAGGCUGAGAUCUUAGGUAAAUCCGGGAUCUUAAGGCCGAGAGCUGAUGACGAGUGUCCUUUAGGACACGAAGUGGUUGAUGCCAUGCUUCCAAGAAAAGCUUCUAAGCUUCAGGUAACCAGGAACCGUACCCCAAACCGACACAGGUGGUUGGGUAGAGAAUACCAAGGCGCUUGAGAGAACUCGGGUGAAGGAACUAGGCAAAAUGGCACCGUAACUUCGGGAGAAGGUGCGCCGGUGAGGGUGAAGCAUUUACUGCGUAAGCCCACGCCGGUCGAAGAUACCAGGCCGCUGCGACUGUUUAUUAAAAACACAGCACUCUGCAAACACGAAAGUGGACGUAUAGGGUGUGACGCCUCCCCGGUGCCGGAAGGUUAAUUGAUGGGGUUAGCUAACGCGAAGCUCUUGAUCGAAGCCCCGGUAAACGGCGGCCGUAACGAUAACGGUCCUAAGGUAGCGAAAUUCCUUGUCGGGUAAGUUCCGACCUGCACGAAUGGCGUAACGAUGGCGGCGCUGUCUCCACCCGAGACUCAGUGAAAUUGAAAUCGCUGUGAAGAUGCAGUGUAUCCGCGGCUAGACGGAAAGACCCCGUGAACCUUUACUAUAGCUUUGCACUGGACUUUGAAUUUGCUUGUGUAGGAUAGGUGGGAGGCUUUGAAGCGUGGACGCCAGUCUGCGUGGAGCCAACCUUGAAAUACCACCCUGGCAACUUUGAGGUUCUAACUCAGGUCCGUUAUCCGGAUCGAGGACAGUGUAUGGUGGGUAGUUUGACUGGGGCGGUCUCCUCCUAAAGAGUAACGGAGGAGUACGAAGGUGCGCUCAGACCGGUCGGAAAUCGGUCGUAGAGUAUAAAGGCAAAAGCGCGCUUGACUGCGAGACAGACACGUCGAGCAGGUACGAAAGUAGGUCUUAGUGAUCCGGUGGUUCUGUAUGGAAGGGCCAUCGCUCAACGGAUAAAAGGUACUCCGGGGAUAACAGGCUGAUACCGCCCAAGAGUUCAUAUCGACGGCGGUGUUUGGCACCUCGAUGUCGGCUCAUCACAUCCUGGGGCUGAAGCCGGUCCCAAGGGUAUGGCUGUUCGCCAUUUAAAGUGGUACGCGAGCUGGGUUUAGAACGUCGUGAGACAGUUCGGUCCCUAUCUGCCGUGGACGUUUGAGAUUUGAGAGGGGCUGCUCCUAGUACGAGAGGACCGGAGUGGACGAACCUCUGGUGUUCCGGUUGUCACGCCAGUGGCAUUGCCGGGUAGCUAUGUUCGGAAUAGAUAACCGCUGAAAGCAUCUAAGCGGGAAACUAGCCUCAAGAUGAGAUCUCACUGGAACCUUGAGUUCCCUGAAGGGCCGUCGAAGACUACGACGUUGAUAGGUGGGGUGUGUAAGCGCUGUGAGGCGUUGAGCUAACCCAUACUAAUUGCCCGUGAGGCUUGACC